UUGUUGCAAAAUAAUAAAAAAAAAAUGCAGGAAACACAGAGGAAUAUUUAUUUUAUUUUUGGCAAAACAACAUAAAGUAUCAGAACUUAAUCAGAGCAGAAAAUCUGUUAGAAGAACAAGUAGAGACAAAGAGAGGAGAGAGACCUCAAAAAGAAGAAGAAUAGUGAAAUGCAGAUAAAAAGUUGUAUACUACUAACAGGAGUCAAUAGGAAAUUGCUACACAUGCACAAGUAACUGUGUACAGCUGGUAUCCGAAUAGCACAACAUGUACGUCAGGGCUUGUAUAUCGGCAAGAGAAGUGUGUCCCCUGUCCACCCAGGACGUACUGGCUGAUGAAGCAAGGCAGGGCUCUGUGUGAGCGCUGUACGGAAGUUUGCUCAGGUCGGCGUCACCUGAAGGAGGUGAAACCCUGUAAAACCAGCUCCAAUCGUGAGUGCCACUGUGAUGCAGGCUUCUUCUGCGCCAGCACUGCACAGUAUACCUGCAGGAGGUGUUUGCCAUGCCCCCCUGGCACCUUCUCCAGCUCUCCAUCCCGUAACAGGUUCUGCCAGUCCCACUCAGAGUGUACUAGUGCGGACAUGGUGGUGGUUAUAGAGGGCACUGCAACCUAUGACCAAGUCUGUGGUUCUACCGCAACAAGACCUCAGGAUCUUAUCCAGGGCAACAGAACCAAGAAUGUCAGAUAGCAGUAUUAAUAGAGUAAGGCGGCAUCAGAAGGAAAGGCGAGAAAACCAAACAACUCCAAGACCAAGCAACGCAACUCCCCCACUCCCUGAAUAUGGCAGAUUACAGCGAGCUUUACUGUGAAAAACAUUUUUAUAAUGAAAUUGAAACCCUGUAAUGUACCAGGAAAACUGGUAUCCUCGCUGUUCUACUCCUAUAUAUACAGUGGCUAGCAAAAGUAAUCAACACAUUUACAUAAAUUACAAAUUGAUACAUUUCCGCAUGGCUGAACGGGUUGAGCGGGCGGCUGUGUCCUCCGGUCUUCUCUUUUGUUCACUGAUUUUUGCCUGUGUUUUAGAUCCUUCAUGAUCCCUUUUGUUUCUAGUUUUGUUUUACUUAAAAUAAAGUCCCUUGGUUUAUUCCAGCCCCUUCGUCCUCCACCAUGCCCAUCCAGGACGGUCAAAUCAUUUCUCUCAUGUGAAGUAUUAUCAAUCAAUAAAAUGUAACUUUCCCUCAGACAAA